UUCUUAAGAUUCAGGUUGCAGUGCACCCAGGAAAUGUCUUGGCCUUGCACAUGUAUAAACCACAAGGAUUUAAGUACUCUAGUGGACAGUAUAUUUUUUUGAGCUGCCCUGAUGUCUCGCCUUUUCAAUGGUGUUUGUGUGGAAGUUUAUCCACUCCUGAUUUGCCAGUGAUUGGAUAUGACUUGCCUCUUCUUUUCCAACCAAUGUUGAUGUCAUGAUUACGGGUGGAGCAACAUCACCUGUUUUCUACAAUUUGAGGCGAAGACACCGCCACCCUUGAUUUGCCUGUGAUUGACUAUGACUUGGCUCUUCUUUUCCAAGCAAUGUUGAUGCUUGGAAGA